CCUGCUGCCUCAAAGCGCGGUUGACACAGCUAUGAAGACUUACACACUCGCGAUCCUUGUUGUGGCGGCGCUCGUAGGCUGCUGCGGCGCCAGGGAGUGCGCCACUGCCUGCCCAGCGGUGUACCAGCCGGUGACAGCCAGGUGUGGAGGCGAAGUCAGGCAGUUCGGGAACCGCUGCGAACUGGCCGUGCACAACUGCCUUCACAACAACGAGUGCAAAGGCUGACAUUAUUAUCAGUAAUGUGACGCCACCAGUACUUUAAUGGCUGGAGCAGUUGAAGAAAUGGUGUACAGACAUUGUCAGAGGUUUUGCAAUCACCUGCUAAAAACAAAAUAAUACUAAAAAGUAAAUAAAGAAGUAUAGAUGUA